rnacentral:rRNA from 1 species
CGGGUGAGUAACACGUGGGUAACCUGCCUGUAAGACUGGGAUAACUCCGGGAAACCGGAGCUAAUACCGGAUAGUUCCUUGAACCGCAUGGUUCAAGGAUGAAAGACGGUUUCGGCUGUCACUUACAGAUGGACCCGCGGCGCAUUAGCUAGUUGGUGAGGUAACGGCUCACCAAGGCGACGAUGCGUAGCCGACCUGAGAGGGUGAUCGGCCACACUGGGACUGAGACACGGCCCAGACUCCUACGGGAGGCAGCAGUAGGGAAUCUUCCGCAAUGGACGAAAGUCUGACGGAGCAACGCCGCGUGAGUGAUGAAGGUUUUCGGAUCGUAAAGCUCUGUUGUUAGGGAAGAACAAGUGCAAGAGUAACUGCUUGCACCUUGACGGUACCUAACCAGAAAGCCACGGCUAACUACGUGCCAGCAGCCGCGGUAAUACGUAGGUGGCAAGCGUUGUCCGGAAUUAUUGGGCGUAAAGGGCUCGCAGGCGGUUUCUUAAGUCUGAUGUGAAAGCCCCCGGCUCAACCGGGGAGGGUCAUUGGAAACUGGGAAACUUGAGUGCAGAAGAGGAGAGUGGAAUUCCACGUGUAGCGGUGAAAUGCGUAGAGAUGUGGAGGAACACCAGUGGCGAAGGCGACUCUCUGGUCUGUAACUGACGCUGAGGAGCGAAAGCGUGGGGAGCGAACAGGAUUAGAUACCCUGGUAGUCCACGCCGUAAACGAUGAGUGCUAAGUGUUAGGGGGUUUCCGCCCCUUAGUGCUGCAGCUAACGCAUUAAGCACUCCGCCUGGGGAGUACGGUCGCAAGACUGAAACUCAAAGGAAUUGACGGGGGCCCGCACAAGCGGUGGAGCAUGUGGUUUAAUUCGAAGCAACGCGAAGAACCUUACCAGGUCUUGACAUCCUCUGACAACCCUAGAGAUAGGGCUUUCCCUUCGGGGACAGAGUGACAGGUGGUGCAUGGUUGUCGUCAGCUCGUGUCGUGAGAUGUUGGGUUAAGUCCCGCAACGAGCGCAACCCUUGAUCUUAGUUGCCAGCAUUCAGUUGGGCACUCUAAGGUGACUGCCGGUGACAAACCGGAGGAAGGUGGGGAUGACGUCAAAUCAUCAUGCCCCUUAUGACCUGGGCUACACACGUGCUACAAUGGACAGAACAAAGGGCUGCGAGACCGCAAGGUUUAGCCAAUCCCACAAAUCUGUUCUCAGUUCGGAUCGCAGUCUGCAACUCGACUGCGUGAAG